rnacentral:rRNA from 1 species
ACGGAGGGUCCGAGCGUUAUCCGGAAUCAUUGGGUUUAAAGGGUCCGCAGGCGGUCAAUUAAGUUAGAGGUGAAAUCCCGUCGCUCAACGACGGAACUGCCUUUAAUACUGGUUGACUUGAGUUAUACGGAAGUAGAUAGAAUAAGUAGUGUAGCGGUGAAAUGCAUAGAUAUUACUUAGAAUACCGAUUGCGAAGGCAGUCUACUACGUAUAUACUGACGCUCAUGGACGAAAGCGUGGGGAGCGAACAGG